AACUUUAACUAAGGUUCAACUAAAGACACAGACUAACUUUAACUAAGGUUCAACUAAAGACACAGACUAACUUUAACUAAGGUUCAACUAAAGACACAGCCUAACUUUAACUAAGGUUCAACUAAAGACACAGACUAACUUUAACUAAGGUUCAUCUAGUUAUGUUUCAUGGCUGUAUGUCUGUGAAGAGUGAAGAGUGGUAAAUAGACCAGGGCUACACACGUCCCUAUAAGCACAGGUAAAUAGACCAGGGCUACACACGCCCCUAUAAACACAGGUAAAUAGACCAUCUACACACGUCCCUAUAAGCACAGGUAAAUAGACCAUCUACACACGUCCCUAUAAGCACAGGUAAAUAGACCAGCUAUACACGUCCCUAUAAACACAGGU
ensembl:lncRNA